UCUAAAUGUGUCAAUACGAUUUGUUAAAAUUGCUUUGGAAAUUCCCAACAAAUGUUGAUAUAAAAGGCCGUUAGAACAUCAAAUAUUUACUUUUAUUAAUUUCGUGAUUGUAACUGCAAAACUUUUGCUUUUACUGUCCUUGUCAUUGCACGUCGACAAGGUUCAGGUAAGAGUUAUUUUGUAACUUAUUCACAUUAGUUUGUCUAUAUUCAAUUUGAUUACAUCGUCCAUAAUUUGGCAAAGUGCGAUAUUUCAAAAUAGUUCUUUAAUAGAAGCCCACCCACAAGAUCAUGAUGUAUUUAUCAGUUCUUUUGUUCCGACGUUGGAAAGUUCCGGGUGGAAAAAAAAAUUAACAAGCCAAAAAGUUCCAGAGGAACUUAUUAACUAGUUAUUUUGUUCUUCCUCUAGUUUAAAAGUUCCACCGGAACAAAGUGACUAGUUGAAAAGUUCCAACGGAAAAUAUCAACUAGUUAAAAAGUUCCUUUUUGUCAAAUUAGUCAAAACCGAAACUUACAAUCUUGCCCAAAAGUUCCAUCGGAACUUAUCAUCUAGUCACACAGUUCCAUUUGAAGAAUUCGUGCAAAGUAAAAUAACGGAAUAACUUCUAAUUUAUUGGUAAACAUUAAUCUGAAAUUAAUAUUUUUAAAAGUACCCACAUGAGAAGGGGGUAUUAUUUCCUUCAACUAGCUACAUUGUUCCGGGACUUUUCAACUAGCUACUUUUUUCCGGAACUUUUCGACUGCACUCGGAAUAAAACAACUAGUUGAAAAGUUCCGCCAGAACAAAGUAACUGACGGGACAUAGUGACUAAUACAUACCUGUCUAUUUUGUCGUAAAAUUCCCCAAAAAUUUUCAACCUUUUGUUUUACUUCAUUCGAUUGAUAAACUUUCACUCUGCAUUCUGUGUUGUGUUCAUAACACGAAUUCUAAAUCCGUUCACACUAGGUGUAUUGGAACUUCUGGGAAAGAAAGAGAGGAAUAUAACAUGUAUCAGCGGAAUACUUAAACUCACAUUAAGAAAACAUACUAACAACGAUACAACAGAAUACAAAACAAAACGUACAUAGUUUUUUAGACUAAACACCACGGAAGUCCAUCAAAUGGGAUGAUGUCCAGUAACCGAGAAUUCCUUUCUGCGGAAAUAAAAAAAAAUAAACAAUUGAUAUUAUGAGUCCAUCCCCAAUUUUUUAGAAUGAAUGAAAUAGACUCGACCAAAAUGUUGAUAACCUUAAGUCAGAUACCAGAAGUUUUACAACGUACACAGCUACUUUUGCAUAGGUACUACUUAUGUACUUAAAAUUUGUAGUACUUGAAAUGUACUUGUCAUAUUUAUAGUCGCCGUCACGUAAAAUUGGCACCAUGUUUUUUGUCAAAAUUUUCUUAAAUAUCGACCGCGUUUACUAAAGAUCAUGUUUUUCAAUUAGCGGAAUCAAAUAUCAUUCCAAAAAUCAACUACUGUCCUACCUUUUAUUGUGUUUGCACUGUAUAAUCCUGACCUUCACAUAAUCCAAGAUUAAUUUGAAUGGUGGAAUCCGACAUUGUUAUUACCGGAAGUGUUGCCGUGGAGUUCCACGUGCUCUCCAUUUUCUUGUGUCUCUCGGAGCUUUUCGUCAUCUUUACGUAAAAAGCGCGGGAAAUUGUAUCAUCAAUGACAAUGAUAUUACCGGAGAGUAACGAAUGUUAUGGAAUAAGGGACCCUCAUAGAAACCAAGAUGGCGGUUAUACAAUGUAAAUAAUCUUGAAAAAUGUGAAGGUCAGGAUUAUACAGUGGAAACACAAUAAAAGGUAGGACAGUAGUGGAUAUUUGGACAGGAUUUCACUUCCGCUAAAAGAAUAACACUAUCUUGAGUAAACGCGGCUGAUAUUUAAAAAAAAAUUAACAAAAAACAUGGUGCCAAUUUUACGUGACGGCGACUAUAGUACUAUUUCUCUACUGUAAAAUUAUUGUAAUAAAUAUGUACUUUUAUUUUCGAGUACUUGACUGUACUUCAAAUAUUGGUACAAAAUUAAUACCAACAAUGAUCACAGUAUUACAUGUUUGAACAUCAUGACUAUAAGAUAAUUAAAAUAGACAAACUGUCAAAAUGCUGAAAAUAUAUCUGUGUAACCUGUAUCUGUAGUACUUAAAUUUCAAGUAAUAUCAAGAACUGUAAAAUUCAGGUACCUAAAUAUUACAAUAAUUUUAAAGUAACACAAUAGUACUGAAUACUAAAAGUAGAUUUCCAGUACUACACAUGUUUGGUACAGAAAUAGUACCUAUUUUAAAGUAGAUGUGUACACUAUACGUUUAUCAAGUCAUGUUAUCUGUUAACCGGUAUUUGCAUAGUUCAUUGUAUGAUAGAGAUUAUGUCAUGUGUCACUUAACCUAUCAAUAUAUAGUUUAAUAUAGUGCGGGAAGCUUACAUAUUCAAAGUUCUAUUGUUUAUUCAUUCAUUACUUUUAUAACUCUGAUAUAUCAUCCUAUACUUGUCUAUUUUAAGAAAUCUAAUUAAAUAUAUACAAUUGUAUUAUUGUAACUAAGUCGUUCGGCAUUAUGCAUGUUAGUUUAUAAGUAUUUAUUUCCGUAUUUUUCUAUUUGUUGCAGGUUUGGGAUAUAGAAGAUAUGUGCAGUAUAACCGUUCCAUGAGUACGACGGUAGACACGGCGGCUGUGUGAUUUGUUCUAUGAAGAAAGGAAAACAAAUUUGGAAGAAAGCCUUUGCAGAUAAAACAUGUGUCUUAAACAUACUCAAUUUUUACAAGUUGUCUUUGCUUGGGUCAAUAUGGCAUUCCAGUUUUUCGAUUGUUUGACAUAUUGUGAAUUUAGAUUCAAUUGGAAUAACCAAACAAUAUGAAA
rnacentral:lncRNA from 1 species